rnacentral:lncRNA from 1 species
CAGCUAAAUAUGGCCCCGUGACUAAAUUUGGCUGAUGCCACGUGAGGGAGAGUGAUGUGAAGAACUUCCACAUCAGGCCUUAAAAGAAAGAGUAUAGCACCCAUGCAGCAAGAAUGUUUAUUGUGUGCCACAAAGUGGGACAGAAGAGAGAGAGAGAGCCGACGGGAAUGAAGAACAGCACAAGAACAACCCGUAUGGUGCAUCAACUGAGGAUCACAGGGUUUGAUGGUUGCCUGGGUGGAAGUCAGUAUGGACGGAUGAUGACUGAGGAACAAAUACCCGCUCUCACACCCCAAACCCAGCCUUAUCCAUCUCCCUCCCAGAGCCUCAGAGUGUGGAGUGGGGACUGGAUGAUUCUCAAGAACAGCCUCACUUCCCACCUGGAUUCACAGCAUCCUCCAACAUCCCAGCCCUGCUGCCCAGUCCAGUCUCCUCUACCAGAUUCCUUUUCUUUCUUUUUUUUUUUUUUUGCAGGGAAAUAUUCACACUGAGCUAACACCUUUUGCCAAUCUUCCUCUUUUUUUCCCCUCCCCAAAGCCCCAGUGCAUGGUAGUAUAUCAGAGUUGUAAGUCGUUCCAGGUCUUCCAUGUGAGCCAUUGCCACUGCAUGGCAACAGAUAGAGGAGUGGUGUCAUUCCAGGAACUGCACCUGGGCUGCCGAGCAUUGACAGCACUGAAUUUUAAGCACUAGGCCAUGAGGGCUGGCUCCAGAUUUCUUUAACUUUGCCUCAGGGGCCCAUUAGGAUUCCCACCCAUGCCCUUCCCCGUUCUACCUUCUUUAGGA